rnacentral:rRNA from 1 species
GACAGAGGCCUCAAGCGUUAGGCGGAAUCACUGGGCUUAAAGCGUGUGUAGGCGGAUCGUUAAGUGUCUUGUGAAAUCCCACGGCUCACCCGUGGAACUGCUGGGCAUACUGGCGAUCUUGGGCCAACUAGGGGCAGCCGGAACAAGCGGUGGAGCGGUGAAAUGCGUAGAUAUCGCUUGGAACGCCGAAGGUGAAAACAGGCUGCUGGGGUUGCGCCGACGCUGGGACACGAAAGCCAGGGGAGCAAACGGG